rnacentral:rRNA from 1 species
UACGUAGGUGGCAAGCGUUGUCCGGAUUUAUUGGGGUUAAAGGGUGCGUAGGCGGCUUUGUAAGUCAGUGGUGAAAUACUCUAGCUUAACUAGAGGGGUGCCAUUGAUACUGCAGAGCUUGAGUACAGAUGAGGUAGGCGGAAUUGACGGUGUAGCGGUGAAAUGCAUAGAUAUCGUCAAGAACACCGAUAGCGAAGGCAGCUUACUGGGCUGUAACUGACGCUGAUGCACGAAAGUGUGGGGAUCAAACAGG